rnacentral:tRNA from 1 species
GGAGAGAUGGCUCAGUGGUUAAGAGCACUGACUGCUCUUCCAGAGGUCCUGAAUUCAAUUCCCAGCAUCCACA